UCACUCAUCAUCUCCACUCAAAUCCCCAACACCCCAAAAAAUCAAUUCCAGAGAGAAGAACAAAAAAUGGGACGGAAAAAGGGAGUAGAGUUCGAUGAAGGAGCACCAGAUAACUUCGACCCAAACAAUCCAUACAAAGACCCAGUUGCAUUCUUCGAGAUGAGAGAACAUUUAGUAAGAGAGAAAUGGAUCGACAUUGAAAAAGCUAAGAUCCUUCGUGAUAAACUACGUUGGUGUUACCGUAUCGAAGGUGUUAAUCAUCUUCAAAAGUGCCGUCAUCUUGUUCAGCAGUAUCUUGAUGCUACACGUGGUAUUGGUUGGGGCAAGGAUCUUCGUCCUCCAUUUAUGCACGGGCCGAAGGAGGUUGAAGCUGUUGAGUCCGAAUGAUUCGUUUCAGGGAUUGUCUUGAAGACCGUAAACACCUCAAUUAUGGCAUGACAUAAAUAAGGGGUGAAAGAGGAUGAGCUUUAUCAAAUAAACAAAGUAGCAGGAUGAAAGAGGAUAGUUGCAGGAGAGGAAGUAACAAAGGAGAAGGUUCAUCCAGUUGAAAGUAUAAAAUUCAGAGGUUGUUGGGCUUACCAGCCGGUGAAUUUCAAUGUAUCGCUGCUUCUGUAAUUCACUGCUCUAAGACCUGAUUUUUUUAGUUUCCUGUUUAUGUGGAAGACGACAAUGGUUUGCAAUGGCUUUAACUUCAGCCUAGGUACUUUUUUAGUUGAGGGAACUAUAUUUUCAUAGUGGAAAUAAAGGAAAAAACUCAUUGUCUUC